CUUGGAGCCCCAGAUGUGUUGUCUUGAACCCAUUUUCAUCUGAUAUUGGAAGUUCAGCGGGAUUGUCCUUGAUUAGCACUUGGAUUGACAACUCCCAGAGAGUACAAGGGAUUUCCAGAC
rnacentral:rRNA from 11 species